UACGUAGGUCCCGAGCGUUGUCCGGAUUUAUUGGGCGUAAAGCGAGCGCAGGUGGUUUAUUAAGUCUGGUGUAAAAGGCAGUGGCUCAACCAUUGUAUGCAUUGGAAACUGGUAAACUUGGGUGCAGGAGAGGAGAGUGGAAUUCCAUGUGUAGCGGUGAAAUGCGUAGAUAUAUGGAGGAACACCGGUGGCGAAAGCGGCUCUCUGGCCUGUAACUGACACUGAGGCUCGAAAGCGUGGGGAGCAAACAGG
rnacentral:rRNA from 1 species